rnacentral:rRNA from 1 species
UACGUAGGGUGCAAGCGUUGUCCGGAAUUAUUGGGCGUAAAGAGCUCGUAGGCGGUGUGUCGCGUCGGCCGUGAAAACCUGCAGCUUAACUGUGGGCUUGCGGUCGAUACGGGCAUCACUGGAGUUCGGCAGGGGAGACUGGAAUUCCUGGUGUAGCGGUGAAAUGCGCAGAUAUCAGGAGGAACACCGGCGGCGAAGGCGGGUCUCUGGGCCGAUACUGACGCUGAGGAGCGAAAGCGUGGGGAGCGAACAGG